rnacentral:rRNA from 1 species
AACGAACGCUGGCGGCGUGUCUUAAGCAUGCAAGUCGUGCGGCAAGGGGUAGCAAUACCCCCUAGAGCGGCGGACUGGUGAGUAACGCGUGGGUGAUCUGCCCUUGGGUUGGGGAUAGCCAUUAGAAAUAGUGGGUAAUACCGAAUACGUUCGCCGGGCUGUGGCCUGGCGAGGAAAAGCGCUUCGGCGCUGCCCGAGGAUGAGCCCGCGACCCAUUAGCUAGUUGGGGAGGUAACGGCCCACCAAGGCGAUGAUGGGUAGCCGGCCUGAGAGGGUGUACGGCCACACUGGGACUGAGAUACGGCCCAGACUCCUACGGGAGGCAGCAGCUAAGAAUAUUCCGCAAUGGACGAAAGUCUGACGGAGCGACGCCGCGUGGACGAUGAAGGCCGAAAGGUUGUAAAGUCCUUUUGUCGGGGAAGAAUAACCAUGGGAGGGAAUGCCCGUGGGAUGACAUGAACCGACGAAUAAGCCCCGGCUAACUACGUGCCAGCAGCCGCCGUAA